rnacentral:ncRNA from 1 species
GGUCGGGUAGCGCGUAGCCAUACAAGACCUUCGGGAAAAGCGCGUGGCCGUCUGAUAGCGGUGUUUAACUGCCCGACCGCCCUAAU